rnacentral:lncRNA from 1 species
UCCUCAACGCUCAGGUGCUCAGACACAGGCAGGGCGUGGGUAGGUAGGAGGGUGCAAGGAGCACAAGAGAUGUGUUUGCAGGGGACAGCUUCCAGCCCUGGCUCAGCGGAUCCAGGAGGGGCCUGGCGGGUAGUGUUGAAGGACAUGUGGUAGGUGAGGUGGGGGUUUCCAGGAGGUUCUGGUAUCAGUGCACUGGCACUAGAGCGAGGGAGCUGGAGGAUAGGACAUCAUGUUGAGGGUGAUGAGAGGGAGGAAGGCUAGAAACAGGAGAGCAUGAGGGGCGCGGUCUUUCCUGAUGCCCGGGCGGGACCAUGGGCAGGGGGAUAGCUCGGUGAGGAGGAGGGAAACAUCGAAGAGGACGGAGAGUCUCCAGGAUGACCGGGUGAGCCUCGUGGGCAAUGAGGACGGAUCAGAAGAGUGAGGGCUGAGAGAACAGCAGCAAAAAGGAGUCAUUAUCGCAGAAUAGGAUCAUCAUCCUCUUCAAUUCAGGAAACUAAGUCACGCAGACUGUGUCUCCACCAGGUGCCAUCAACCCAUGGAAGAAACUGCCAGUUCCUGUGAUGGCCAGUGGAGGGAGCGACCCCACUGCUGCUUCUACUUGCUACAGAUUCAACUGUGAUGACUGACUUCCUUCACUACAACUCCUCUGAGCAGAACACACCUAAAUAUGAAAUGAAGUAUGUGCCUGUGCACGUGGCAGUCAUCUGCUUGCAGGGGACAGUUCCGAUCAUCCCUAACCAAUCCAGCCACAGUUGGAGGAGACAUAGCAUCUGGUCCCUGCUUAGAACUACUUCCUCAGUGAAUGAAGGACCGGGACUCAAGAGAGCCAGGAAAAGCCUCGAUGAAUAUGUGCUGCCAGAAGCAAUGUGCCUGCCUCCCUGCUACACCUGUGAGACCCCUGGGGGUCCUGUUCUUCUCGUCCUUGGGGCAGGACCUCCCUCCACGCAGGGAGAGGGCCUCAAGUUGCAGCUGCCUCAGUUUCAGCCACACCUCCAGCCCAGCGGCUCCGUGACCUGGGACUCAGGACUCACCUGGCUUCACUUCAAAGUGUAAACGCCUGUCUUUAAAGGAAUGUAGGUAUUUUCAAUGUUUAGACUUUACUUUGGGCCUCAAGUUUUUUUGGCACCCACAUUGAGUACGAAUUGUUGUGGCUUCUGAAACACAAGUUCACAAUUUUUGAUGAAUUUGGUUGUGCCAAUGGAAACAACAUGAAACAUACUGGAGUGUGAAGUCAAGUGGGCCUUAGGAAACAUUACUGUGAACAAAGCUGGUGGAGUUGAUGGAAUCCUGGCUAUUUCAAAUGCUAAAAGAUGACACUGUUAAAGUGCUGCACUCAAUAUGCCAGCAAAUUUGCUAAACUCCGCAGUGGCCACAGGACUGGAAAGGUCAGUUUUCAUUCCAAUCCUAAAGAAGGGUCAUGGCCAAGGAAUGUUCAAACGACUGCACAACUGCACCCAUUUCAGAUGCUAGCCAGGUCAUUCUCAAAUCCAUCACGUUAGGAUUCAAUGAUAUGUGAACAGACAAGUACCAGAUGUACAACGUAGAUUCCAAAAAGGCAGAGGAACCAGAAAUCCAACUGCCAACAUCCAUUGGAUCGUAGAAAAUGCAAAGGAAUUCGGGAAACAAUUCGUUGACUACGCUUCACGACCUUAGAUAAUCACGAUGGUGUGAUCACUCACCUAGAGCCAGACAUCCUGGAAUGUGAAGUCAAGUGUGCCUUAGAAAGCAUCACUAUGAACAAAGCUAGUGGAGUUGAUGGAAUUCCAGUUGAGCUAUUUCAAAUCCUAAAAAUGAUGCUGUGAAAGUGUUGCUUUCAAUAUGUAAGCAAAUUUGGAAAUCUCAGCAGUGGCCACAGGACUGGAAAAAGUCAGUUUUCAUUCCAAUCCCAAAGAAAGGCAAUGCUAAAGAAUGCUCAAACUACCACACAAUUGCACUCAUCUCACACGCUAGUAAAGUAAUGCUCAAAAUUCUCCAAGCCAGGUUUGAGCAAUACAUGAACUGUGAACUUCCAGAUAUACAUGCUGGUUUUAGAAAAGGCAGAGAAACCAGAGAUCAAAUUGCCAACAUCCACUGCAUCAUUGAAAAAGCAAGAGAGUUCCAGACAAACAUCUAUUUCUGCUUUAUUGACUAUGCCAAAGCCUUUGACUGUGUGGAUCACAAUAAACUAGAAAAUUCUGAAAGAGAUGGGAAUACC